rnacentral:lncRNA from 1 species
UUAUAACCAUUCACCCCAAUUGGUCUUACUAUCAAAACAUAACCAGCUUUUUACUUCAGUUCCCAUCACAAUACUUGAUAGGAUUUCAAAAUAUAUGCAUAUGCUUAGUAAUAUAGAUUCAACAGGAAAUCCUCAAUCAAAUCGCAUGUAUCAAUCAGCAAAUCAAGCAAGAGUUCUAAUCCUAUAUCGGCUUCUUCAUACUUACAUAUAGGAAAAACCAAUAGUCCUCAUAUUUAAACAAUAUUCCAGUCCCUUUAACAAAUCAAUCAGCUAAAUUAAAAUAUCUACCUAAAGCUUUCAAAACUCAAAGAGAAUUAGCAACAAAAUGAUCAAAUGUACACCUAACAGGAAACUAAAACUAACUGCGGAAUCGACUAAUUUCAAGAGUGCAGAAGACAUUAUUGAAUAAACUGAUAUGUCAUAGAUUUUCAGCUCAAACCAAACAACUUCAUGUUCUUCCAUUUCACAUGUCAAGGAAAUGUAGUGAAUACCUGGCUACAACAGCAAAACAACAAGGAAAAAUGAGCUGGGAGUUUAAGAAGCAACAACAGCAAAGUAUCAGCAGCUAAAACAGCCAAACAAUCAGCAAUUACUCAACCUUUUGACCCAGCUUCAAACCCAAAAUCAAUACAACUUUCAGAGCUUUUGAAAAAUCUGACUAACAGGGAACUUAAGGAGCAGGGACCAACCAAUUCUAGGCAAAUUUCAGUAUUUUAGAGUCUAGAAGAAGCUUAGUUGUUCCUAAAGUUUUUCAGUAUUUUUCAAUCUCUAAAUUCUAACUUGGAAGUGAAGAAACAAACCUAUAUAGUGAAGCUUUAGGGCAGCAGAAAUAAGUUCAGUUUUUGCCCUUUACUCCUUUUUGAAUUUUCGUUUUUGCUCCUAUGUCCUUAAUUUAAAAAUCAUUUUUUUCAAAAUAGCCCUAAUCCCACCUUCCUAGAAGUUUCCCCAAUCAGUUACAAUAGAUUCCCUAACCUAAAUUCCCUAAACUACCCCUUAAACCCUUGUUAUUUACCCUUGGAACCAAACGGGUCAAAUUGACCCAAAGUUCAGCCAGACAUGGGCUUGCAAAAACCUGGGCUAAUCCCUUUUCUUUAGGUUUUUGACUUAAUAGAACCCAAUUUAAUUCAUAAAGGAACUCCCCAAACAAAGUAAUAUAAAUAUGAAACAUGAGACCUUUAUUUUCGAAACAAAUUAAAAUAUUAAGAGACAAAGAAAAUCAACACAUGUUUAACAAAGCAAUUAAUUUAAACUAAUUGUGACUUAAUCCUAAUUAUGCACAAAAUAUUUAACCAACAAAAAACAGAGAAAAGGAAAUAGAAAAUCAGAAGAGAUGAGGAGUGGAAUGAACAAAAAUAAAGAAAGAACUUAAAUACCUAGAGUAAAGGACGGAAAUGGCUUGAAAGGACCUCUACCUCUUUCGAUUUCGAGCCGCAAUUGGUAUUCGUCGUGGAUUCUUGUUAAAAACCGACGAGAAACAACAAUUACGACCCUAACCAAGUCAUCGAAGCCUGAAAAAACUUGGGAGAAUUUUGCUUUCGCUCUUCUACCCUUUUUUAGAUCUGAAAUUAGCUUCGCUUGGUGUUGAUUUGAAGGAAUAUGGUGAUGGCUUGUGGGUCAGGGGUGAAUAAUUGUUAUGUGGUGUUUAUUUGGGGGUUGAUUGGAGGUGGCUUGGCCGGUGAAAAUGGUGGAUUUUUAGAGGCGGCGCUAGGGUUUACAUGAAAGAGAUGAGAGAGAUGGACCGAGGGGGUUAUGUUUGGACU